ACCCAGGUAACUCAGGUGGUGGAGCAUUAGACUUUUAAUCUAAGGGUCCAGGGUUCAAGUCCCUGUUCAGGUG
rnacentral:tRNA from 1 species